CCUACGGGCGGCAGCAGUGGGGAAUAUUGCACAAUGGGGGAAACCCUGAUGCAGCGACGCCGCGUGAGUGAUGAAGUAUUUCCGUAUGUAAAGCUCUAUCUGCAGGGAAGAAAAUGACGGUACCUGAUUAAGAAGCUCCGGCUAACUACGUGCCAGCAGCCGCGGUAAUACGUAGGGGGCAAGCGUUAUCCGGAUUUACUGGGUGUAAAGGGAGCGUAGACGGCAGCACAAGUCUGGAGUGAAAUGUCGGGGCUUAACCCCGGAACUGCUUUGGAAACUGUGCAGCUUGAGUGCAGGAGAGGUAAGUGGAAUUCCUAGUGUAGCGGUGAAAUGCGUAGAUAUUAGGAGGAACACCAGUGGCGAAGGCGGCUUACUGGACUGUAACUGACGUUGAGGCUCGAAAGCGUGGGGAGCAAACAGGAUUAGAUACCCUAGUAGUC
rnacentral:rRNA from 1 species